AUGGAGGAGACAUAUCGGCGACGACCAGCAGAAGGCGCUUGGGCAGAGAGGGGAUGGUUUCAUGGCCUCUGCCUCCCUUCCCACCUCAUCCCCGAUCUCGAUCCCACCAUGGUGCUGCAGUGGGCUGGGGAAGACGGAAAGAAGCAGAUCAAGUUCAUGACUUACAACGUCUGGUGCCGGGAGGACCUUGUCGUCCACAAGAGGAUGAAGGCCAUCGGCGACCUCGUUCAGGAACAUUCGCCAGACGUCAUCUUCUUCCAGGAAAUCACACCGUACAUCCACUCGAUCUUCGAGAGCUUCGCAUGGUGGAAGGACUACCACUGCUCACCAGUGCCCACAGAAGGCCAAUUCUGCUUGAUGCUGAGCAAGCUUCGAAUGGAGAGCUACGCGCGCUGGAAGUUUGGCACUUCGCCGACGGGCAAGUGCUACCUGGAGGCAGACAUUGUCCCUGGACCGCCUUCUUUGAUGAAGCCGAUCCGCAUCGCUACGACCGAGCUCGAGUGCCCCGUGCCGCCGGCGUGGAUGCACCUCAGGGAGCGCUACACGCAGGCAAAGCACGCGGUCUCGGCGCUGAGUAGCGCGGAUAAUGUCGUUCUGGGCGGCGACAUGAGCUGGGAUGAUGAUGCCGACUUGCCGUUUCCGCUCCCUGGAGGCUGGUGUGACGCCUGGGAAGAACUAAUCCGUGAGCGUGGGAGUUACUACAGUUGGACUUAUGAUAGUUUCUGGGUGGAAAAGGUAUGGGAGUUCAAUGGCCACAUAGUCCAUCGACCAUGGACCAAGAAGCGGUCAGACCGAUUUGUGUGCAAGCUGCAAGACUACACGCUGAAUACGAUCCAGCUGAUCGAGGGAAAUCAUGGUUUUGAGGCUUUUGGUCGUAUUCGUUGUACGAACUACACGACAUGCAACCACGAAGACCUGGCGCUACACGCGAGCUGUCACCGCGGGCUGGUUCUGACCAUCGUCCCCAAAUGA
rnacentral:rRNA from 1 species